UAAGGAAUAUUGGACAAUGGUCGCAAGACUGAUCCAGCCAUGCCGCGUGCAGGAAGACGGCCCUAUGGGUUGUAAACUGCUUUUGUACCAGAGAAAACCUAUCUACGUGUAGAUAGCUGAUAGUAUGGUAGGAAUAAGCACCUGCUAACUCCGUGCCAGCAGCCGCGGUAAUACGGAGGGUGCAAGCGUUAUCCGGAUUCACUGGGUUUAAAGGGUGCGUAGGCGGAUAUGUAAGUCAGUGGUGAAAUCAACGGGCUCAACCUGUUAACUGCCAUUGAUACUGUGUAUCUUGAAUAUGAGAGAGGUAGGCGGAAUGGUGCACGUAGCGGUGAAAUGCUUAGAUAUGCUACGGAACACCGAUUGCGAAGGCAGCUUACUAUUUCGUAAUUGACGCUGAGGCACGAAAGCGUGGGUAGCGAACA
rnacentral:rRNA from 1 species